rnacentral:rRNA from 1 species
GAUGAACGCUGGCGGCGUGCCUAAUACAUGCAAGGCGAGCGAACAGACGAGGAGCUUGCUCCUCUGACGGUAGCGGCGGACGGGUGAGUAAAACGUGGAUAACCUAACGAGAAGAAUGGGAUAAAUUCGGGAAAAAGGAGUUAAUACCGGAGAAUAUAUUGAACCGAAUGGUUCAAUAGUGAAAGACGGUUUUGCUGUCACUUAUAGAUGGAUCCGCGCCGCAUUGGCUAGUUGGUAAGGUAACGGCUUACCAAGGCAACGAUGCGUAGCCGACCUGAGAGGGUAAUCGGCCACACUGUAACUGAGACGCGUUCCAGACUCCUACGGGAGGCAGCAGUAGGGAAUCUUCCGCAAUGGGCGAAAGCCUGACGGAGCAACGCCGCGUGAGUGAUGAAGGUCUUCGGAUCGUAAAACUCUGUUAUUAGAAACGAACAAAUGUGUAAGUAACUACGCACGUCUUGACGGUACCUAAUCAGAAAGCCACGGCUAACUACGUG